rnacentral:rRNA from 1 species
UUUACCUACGGGGGGCAACAGUGGGGAAUAUUGGGCAAUGGGCGCAAGCCUGACCCAGCAACGCCGCGUGAAGGAAGAAGGCUUUCGGGUUGUAAACUUCUUUUAUGAGGGACGAAAGAAAUGACGGUACCUCAUGAAUAAGCCACGGCUAACUACGUGCCAGCAGCCGCGGUAAUACGUAGGUGGCAAGCGUUAUCCGGAUUUACUGGGUGUAAAGGGCGUGUAGGCGGGACUGCAAGUCAGAUGUGAAAAUUAUGGGCUCAACACAUAACCGGCAUUUGAAACUGUAGUUCUUAAGGUAUUGU